rnacentral:snoRNA from 1 species
AAUUAGAACCUACUGGUUAAGCUUGCCACAGCAAGGAAUUCUAAAAUAUUCUAGCACUCUCACAUCUAUGAGUUGGGCCAUUACACAGAUUUAAGCAGU